CAAUGAUAGGAAUUAAUAACGUUGUUUUCAGGAUUAAAUGAAAUAACACAUGGAGAAAGAGCUUGCCCGGGGCUGGGCUCCUAGGAACUGCCGGGUUCUUUUGUCAUCUCUUCCUUUUUCUUCUCAAUGACAAAGCAAAUAUGACACAUCCUUGAGUUCCUGUGCCAUCUUCUCAUCCUCUUUUCUGUUUGUCUCCUUCGCUUUGAAAUCCUGUUCAAGUCUCAUCUCCUGAUGCUCAAGCAUCAUGGCAUCAUUUCCAGUGGAGUCGCUGAACUUGUAGGUUGUCUACCUGACACCUCGAGGUCCUUACACCAAGAAGUCAGCUGUGAAGCCCGCUGAGUCCUCGGGUGGAUGUCUGCCACCACAUACAUAGCCUUUGCUGGUGGCUUGGAGAGCUGGCAGGUCAGCCACAGAAAGUGGGCAAGACCUAGUCAGUAGCGACAGGAUAUGUUCCCAGGAUGGACAGCUGCCUGAUAUGCGUUCAGUUCCAGUGCCAAAGCCAAGGGCUGCCAGUGCCCUUCCUUCAUGCUAAGGACUUCUCUCUCUCCAGGACAGCGGAUGCCUGUUUGGAAGGCUGGAUUGGACUGAGCCACAUGGCAGAGCCUUGGAGAUGGCAGGGGAGGGAAGUCGAAGACAUGGGCAAGUCUCAGUUCUCAACAGUGGCUGUGUGCCAGGCACUGAACGAGGCAUUUUGCAUGCAACAUUUCACUUUAUCUGCACAACAGCCCCCUGCUGAGGAACUAUGGCCCCACUUUAAUGAUGAGGAAAUUGAGGCUCAGAGAGGGGAAGUCACCUGCUUGAGGCCACACAGCUAGUAAAUGGUAGAACG